GAUGCAACAAACCCACCCCACUGUCUUUGCAAUGGUGCAACACCCAAAGGAACGACCCACAGGUGUCCUACAGCCACACUGGGUGCAGCAAACACACCCCACUGCUGUUGCAGUGCUGCAGAAUAUCAAAGGCCAAUGCAACAAACCCACCCCAUUGGCUUUGCAGUGGUGCAACACCCAAAGGAACGACCCACAGGUGUCCUACAGCCACACUGGGUGCAGCAAACACACCCCACUGCCGUUGCAGUGCUGCAGAAUAUCAAAGGCCAAUGCAACAAACCCACCCCAUUGGCUUUGCAGUGGUGCAACACCCAAAGGCCCAACCCACACAUGUCCUACAGACGCACCGGGUGCAGCAAACACACCCCACUGACGUUGCAAUGGUGCAAAACCCAAAGGGUCGAUGCCACAAACCCACCCCACUGGCUUUGUGAUGACCCAUAACCCAAAGGACCAACACAACAAACCCACCCUAUUGCCUUUGCAAUGGUGCAGUACCCGAAGAGCUGACCCACAUAUAUCCCACAGCCACACCGGGUGCAACAAACCCACCCCAGUGCCUUUGCAAUGGUGCAAAAUACAGAGGGCUGACCCACAACGUGUCCUACAGCUGCACCAGGUGCAGCAAACCCAAACCAUUGCCUUUGCAAUGGUGCAACACCCAAAGAGCUGACCCACAUAUAUCCUACAGGCGCACCGGGUGCAGCAAACACACCCCACUGACUGUGCAGUGGUGCAGUACCCGAAGAGUCGAUGCCACAAACCCACCCCAUUGGCUUUGCAAUGGUGCAACACCCAAAGGAACGACCCACAGGUGUCCUACAGCCACACUGGGUGCAGCAAACACACCCCACUGCCGUUGCAGUGCUGCAGAAUAUCAAAGGCCAAUGCAACAAACCCACCCCAUUGCCUUUGCAGUGGUGCAACACCCAAAGGCCCAACCCACACAUGUCCUACAGCCACACGGUGCAGCAAACACAGCCCACUGCCAUUGCAGUGCUGCAGAAUAUCAAAGGCCAAUGCAACAAACCCACCCCAUUGGCUUUGCAGUGGUGCAACACCCAAAGGCCCAACCCACACAUGUCCUACAGGUGCACCGGGUGCAGCAAACACACUCCACUGGCACUGCAAUGGUGCAAAACCCAAAGGGUCGAUGCCACAAACCCACCCCAUUGCCUUUGCAAUAGUGCAAUACCCGAAGAGCUGACCCACAUAUAUCCUACAGACGCACCGGGUGCAGCAAACACACUCCACUGACUGUGCAAUGGUGCAAAACCCAAAGGGUCGAUGCCACAAACCCACCCCAUUGCCUUUGCAAUGGUGCAAUACCUGAAGAGUUGACCCACAUAUAUCCCACAGCCACACCGGGUGCAACAAACCCACCCCAGUGCCUUUGCAAUGGUGCAAAACCCAAAGGAACGACCCACAGGUGUCCUACAGCCACACUGGGUGCAGCAAACACACCCCACUGACGUUGCAGUGCUGCAGAAUAUCAAAGGCCAAUGCAACAAACCCACCCCAUUGCCUUUGCAAUGGUGCAGUACCCGAAGAGCGGACCCACAUAUAUCCCACAGGCACACCGGGUGCAGCAAACACACUCCAUUGGCUUUGCAACGGUGCAAAACCCAAAGGUCUGACCCACAACGUGUCCUACAGACACACUGCAUGCAGCAAACACACCCCACUGCACUGCAAUGGUGCAAAACCCAAAGGACCAAUGCAGCAGACCGCCCCACUGCACUGCAGUGGUGCAGAACCCAAAGAGCCGAUGCAACAAACCCAAACCAUUCGCUCUGCAGUUUAGGAUGGAGAGAUUGAUGCACCCGGGGCAGACAGUGACCUCCUCGGCCCCACACCUAUGGGGCUGCUGCUGUCCAAGCAUCAGCACUAUGGGGUCGGAUCGCUCCUACGGUGCCGAUGUCCCCAUUCCGGCUGCCAGGACUGCCGCUCUUCGGACACAGCGCCGCAGAGGACGGUUCCCACAGUGCACCCAUUGGGAUCCACACCUAUUUGGGAUGGGUACCCAUUUGGGACCCAUUGGGAUCCACACCUAUUUGGGAUGGGCACCCAUCUGGG
rnacentral:lncRNA from 1 species